rnacentral:rRNA from 1 species
AUGGCGACCAGCGCACGGGUGAGUAACACGUAUCCAACCUGCCGAUAACUCGGGGAUAGCCUUUCGAAAGAAAGAUUAAUACCCGAUGGUAUAAUCAGACCGCAUGGUUUGAUUAUUAAAGAAUUUCGGUUAUCGAUGGGGAUGCGUUCCAUUAGGCAGUUGGUGAGGUAACGGCUCACCAAACCUUCGAUGGAUAGGGGUUCUGAGAGGAAGGUCCCCCACAUUGGAACUGAGACACGGUCCAA